CUAUACAUGCAAGUCGAACGCACUGACGUCGACCGAAGCUGCUUGCAGUGGACGUUGAUUGACGUGAGUGGCGGACGGGUGAGUAACACGUGGGUAACCUACCCUUAAGUGGGGGAUAACAUUUGGAAACAGAUGCUAAUACCGCAUAACCAUUCAGACCACAUGGUCUGAAUGUAAAAGACGGCCUUUGGCUGUCACUUUUGGACGGACCCGCGGCGUAUUAGUUAGUUGGUAAGGUAACGGCUUACCAAGACAAUGAUACGUAGCCGACCUGAGAGGGUAAUCGGCCACAUUGGGACUGAGACACGGCCCAAACUCCUACGGGAGGCAGCAGUAGGGAAUCUUCCACAAUGGACGAAAGUCUGAUGGAGCAACGCCGCGUGAGUGAAGAAGGUUUUAGGAUCGUAAAACUCUGUUGUUGGAGAAGAACAGGGACUAGAGUAACUGUUAGUCCUUUGACGGUAUCCAACCAGAAAGCCACGGCUAACUACGUGCCAGCAGCCGCGGUAAUACGUAGUGGCAAGCGUUGUCCGGAUUUAUUGGGCGUAAAGCGAGCGCAGGCGGUUUUUUAAGUCUGAUGUGAAAGCCUUCGGCUUAACCGAAGAAGUGCAUUAGAAACUGGGAAACUUGAGUGCAGAAGAGGACAGUGGAACUCCAUGUGUAGCGGUGAAAUGCGUAGAUAUAUGGAAGAACACCAGUGGCGAAGGCGGCUGUCUGGUCUGUAACUGACGCUGAGGCUCGAAAGUAUGGGGAGCGAACAGGAUUAGAUACCCUGGUAGUCCAUACCGUAAACGAUGAAUGCUAAGUGUUGGAGGGUUUCCGCCCUUCAGUGCUGCAGCUAACGCAUUAAGCAUUCCGCCUGGGGAGUACGACCGCAAGGUUGAAACUCAAAGGAAUUGACGGGGGCCCGCACAAGCGGUGGAGCAUGUGGUUUAAUUCGAAGCAACGCGAAGA
rnacentral:rRNA from 2 species